GGAGACGUGGGUGAGUGGCUGAAACCAGCGGUUUGCUAAACCGCCGUGCUGAGUAAUCGGCACCGACGGUUCGAAUCCGUCCGUCUCCGCCA
rnacentral:tRNA from 2 species